GCCGCUCUCUGGCUCUCUUCUCUGAGUUCUCUCCACUAAAUGUCUAAAUCUAACCCAAAACAGUGAACAUUAAACUUUCUCAAUCUUUUGAUUCUCUUUCUCACUCUCACGGCUAAAAGACGCCCCUUCCCCUCACCGGCUCACCCCCUGUCCCCUCUCGCCCCCUCGCCUCUCCUCUCCACUCUCCUUAGACCGACCACCGGCGACCGACGUUUCCUCAACGGCUCAACCUCUCAAAAGUCAAAACCAGUGAGUUUUAGUUUUAGUCCUUUCUGAUUCCAACCCAGAUCGUAGUUUCUCUUGUUCUAUCAUGGGUCUGUGCUUAUCUGUCGAAUCUACAUCUUUCUGAGCAAUGGGGGUUGCUAGGUUUGACUGUUUUAUGGGGGGGGUUUAAACGUAUGGAUUGAUUAGUAUAAAUGUUAAAGUUGUGAACCUUGUUAUGCUGGUUUAUGGAUGGUUUAAUUAUUAGUAUGAAUGUUAAAGUUCUGAGCUUUUAUUACUCAGUAAUAAUUGAGUGAUUUAACGAUUAAUCAUGGUUGCUAUUUUAUCUGUUAUACUCUUUGUUUUUUCUGGUUUAUGUUCCUGAUUUAUUCUUUGUUUCUUGAUGGAUUGAUUGAUAUGUGGAAUGGAUCACUAUAGUUCUAUAAUGAGCUUAGUUGCGGAACAGGAAAUGAAAUGCAUUCUGGGUACAGCUGAGAGCAGAGGUUCUUUCUUUCUUUUUUUUGUGGGUGUGGGGCGGGGGGGUGCAAACUGAUAGAUUUUAUUUUUUAAAUUAUAGGAAAUUUAAUAGUUCGACUGAUAGGAAGCUUGAUUAUUAACUUUAUGUUUUAAGUUAGUUAGCAUUCAUUAGAUAUUCGGGAAAGAGAGUAAGUAAUCUAGACGAAAUUCAUGACAGCAUGGGUUUUUUUUCUUCCUUUCAUAUUUUGUGAUUUUUCGAUUGCUGUCCUGUCAAGUAGGAAAUUCAUAAUUAUAAUAGAGAAUUUUUUUGGGGAAUUUAUGAUUUGUGGUGUUGAUAGCUGAUAAAGUCCCCCCACCCCUACCAAGCCGAGCUGCUUAGUUUUGGUGAGAGUAUUUCAAACAUUUGACAAUUGUGUGCUAUUAUCUCCUUCAGCGAUGAAUUUAUUGAACCUGUAUGGACUAUGGAAGGAUUUACAUAUUUAUUACUUCUUUAACCUGAACCCCACUUAGCAACAGUAGGAUAAUCAAAGGCUGUUUGUUUUACAGAUGCAUAUAUUUAUCCAUGUGGAGAAUCAACUCUUAUGCAUAAUGUCUUAUGCAUUAGGGAUUUUCCUUUGCAUUGUUGUUUUCCUUUAGCACAGGUGGUCGUAUACUCGACCAAUUUCGAAGUUCUCUAUCUCCAGCAACAGUUCAAGCACUUAUUUGUUCUCUAUCUCCAGAAACCUACGAAAACCUUGAAUCAGGUAACGUUUUUUAAAAACUUACACAUUUUAUUUUAUUUAUUAAUUAACACAUUUUUAUUCUAACAUGUUUAAUAUUUUAUUUUGUAGAAUUUGGUGGAAAGUUGCAUUUAGCAACGGAUGAUAAUUAGUUCACAAAUUGUGAAUUUGUGAUGCAUGUAUUGAAAAUUAUGGUAUAAAUAUAUAUAUUUUUUUAAUUUUUAUAUCUUCUGAUUUAAUUUAUCAUGUUAUAAUUCUAGAUUAUGAAUUUCAGGAAUCAAAGUGCAAUGCUCUUGAAGUGCUUUUUUAUUGAGAUGAUGUGCACAUGAAGAUUUAUUUUUUGUGGCUUGGAGUGUUUUAUGAUAAUGUUAUUUGUUGUUUUUUUGUUAAGCCCUUUGAAGGCAAUGGUUUGUAUUUUGUAAUUUGGAUUUUAACUUAUUGGUGUGUGAUUGUGAGUGUGUUAUUUAUUUAAACUUUUCGGAAGUAGAAAAAUAUUAGUAAGUUAAAAAUAUAUUGAAC
rnacentral:lncRNA from 1 species